GUAGGGAUCAUUCUGUGUUAAAAUGUCUACAAGAGUGCUUCUGUUCUGCUUGCUUUUGCUGCUCACGUCAGGAGUUCAAGGGUCAUCUGGCUCAUACCGAAAGCCUGUGUGUGCUGAGAUGGCAGAGAUCCUGCCAUGUCCAAUGAACCUCGCACCUGUGUGAGGUAGUGACGGAAACACCUACGCCAACGAGGGCUUGCUGUGUGUGGAAAGACACGUACCAGGGUUGCCCACCAUUCAGAACUGAAUUGAGAAUGCCUUUUAAUUCCAAAUUACUGUCAAUUUACUGAAUUGCAAUUCAUUGAUUUCCUAUUCCCAUCAUUCCAAUAGAGCGCAACAGUCAGGUUCCAUAAGUAAAAAUUCCAUUAAUUUGUUCCAUAGACAAACUGAUUUUCAACAAUGACUUGUAAACCUUAAAGACAGACUGACCAUGAGCUCAGAGGUGGUCCAGCAGAGAAAGAUCCACCAAUCGGAGAAGCACUGCCAACAAAGCCUGCCAAACAAGUCCAGCAGCAACCGCCCAUUUCAGUGACACACUGGGAAUGACAUAAUGGAGUUGGAGUCCCUACACCCUCAAACUGCAUAUCUAUUUGUAUAUGUCAGAAUAUUUUUCAGUAAACCUAAAAUAUAUUGUUUCUAUACGUAUAAUUAGCAACUUAAAUCCAAUAGUUUUAUAUAUUUCCAUUGUUUUUUGUUUUUUUUCCAUUUAUGUAAUUCACAAUGCUUCAUAGGAUUGUAGUUCAUGCUCUUGUGAAAGAUGGUAAUUACACUGAAAAAAAAAAUUAUGUGUUGGAUUUACUUAUAUAAUAUACAGUUGUGCUCAAAAGUUUGCAUACACUUGGAGAAUUGGAAAUAUAUGUACCAUUUUUAAAGAAAACAUGAGUGAGUAGGCAAAACACAUUUCUUUUAUUUCUUAUGGGAUUCAUAUUCAACUGUAGGUUAUAACAGAAUGGCACAAUCAUAAAACAAAACAUGGCAAAAAAGACAAAAUGAAAUGACCCCUGUUCAAAAGUCUGCAUACCCUUAGUUCUUAAUACUGUGUAUUGCUCCCUUUAGCAUCAAUGACAGCGUGCAGUCUUUUGUAAUAGUUGUCUAUGAGGCCCCAAAUUCUUGAGGUGGUAUAGCUGGCCAUUUGUCUUGGCAAAAUGCCUCUAGGUCAUGCAGAGUCUUUGGUCAUCUUGCAUGAAUCUCCCCAGAGUGGCUCGAUGAUAUUAAGGUCAGGAGACUGUGAUGGCCACUCCAUAACUUUCACCUUUUUCUGCUGUAACCACUGGAGGGUCAACUUGGCAUUGUACUUAGGGUCAAUGUCAUGCUGGAAAAUCCAUGAGCAUCCCAUGCGCAGCUUUCGUGCAGAAGAACGUAAAUUGUCUGCUAGUAUUUUCUGAUAACAUGCGGCAUUCAUCUUGCUAUCAAGUUUCACAAGAUUCCCCGUGCCUUUAGAGCUCACACCCCCCCAAAACAUGUGAGCCACCACUAUGCUUCACAGUGGGGAUGGUAUUCUUUUCACUAGAGGCCUUGUUGACCCCUCUCCAAACAUAGCACUUAUGGUUGUGACCAUAAAGCUCUAUUUUGGUCUUGUCACUCCAAAGGCGUGUCAAGGUGUUGUCGGGCAUAUUGUAACCAGGCUUUUUUGUGGCAUUGGUGCAGUAAAGGCAUCUUUCUGGCAACUCGACCAUGCAGCUAAUUUUUGUUCAAGUAUCGUCGUAUUGUACUCCUUGCAAAAACCACACCAUCUUUUUCCAGAGCAGCCUGUAUUUCUCCUGAGGUUACCUGUGGGUUUUUCUUUGUAUCCUUAACAAUUCUUCUGGCAGUUGUGGCUUUAAUCUUUCUUGGUCUACCUGACCUUGGCUUGGUAUCAAGAGAUCCCCAAAUUUUCCACUUCUUAAUAAGUACAGCACUGACUGGCAUUUUCAAGGCUUUGGAUAUAUUUUUAUAUCCUUUUCCAUCUUUAUAAAGUUCCAUUACCUUGUUACACAGGUCUUUUGACAGUUCUUUUCUGCUCCCCAUGGCUCAGUAUCUAGCCUGCUCAGUGCAUCCAUGUGAGAGCUAACAAACUCACUGACUAUUUAUACACAGACACUAAUUGCAAUUUAAAAAGCCACAGGUGUGGUAAAUUAACCUUUAAUUGCCAUUAAAACCUGUGUGUGUUACCUUGUGUGUCUGUAACAAGGCCAAACAUUCAAGGGUAUGUAAACUUUUGAUCAGGGCCAUCUGGGUGAUUUCUGUUAUCAUUAUGAUUUAAAAAGGAGCCAAACAACUAUGUAAUAAUAAAUGGCUUCAUAUGAUCACUAUCCUUAAAUAAAAGACAGUGUUUUUGCAUGAUCAGUCAUAUUUUCAAAAUUAAUGCCAAAAUUUAACAAAUUCUGCCAGGUUAUGCAAACUUUUGAGCACAACUGUAUACACAGAUGAGCCAAAACAUUAUUACUACUUGCCUAAUAUGCUGUUGGUCCUCUGCGUGCUGCCAAACAGUGCCGACCCACAGAGACAUGGACUCUACAAGACUCCUAAAGGUGUCUUGUAGUAUCUGGCACCAAGACAUUAGCAGCAGAUACUUCAAGUCCUGUAAGUUGCGAGGCUGAGCCACCGUGGAUCGUACUUUUUAGUCCAGCCCAUCCCUGGUGCCAUCACUUCCCCAGGUAAAUGGCGAAAACGUACAAGGCCAUCCAUUUAAUGUAAAAGAAAAUGGGACUCAUCAGACCAGGCGACCUUCUUUCACUGCUCCAAGGUCCAGUCCCGAAGCCCGCGUGCCCAUUGUAGGCGCUUUCAACGGUGGACAGGUGACAUCAUGGGCAAUCUGACUGGUCUGCGAGUACGCAGCCCCAUACGCAGCAGGGUGUGAUGCACUGUGUUGUGACGCAUUUCUCCCAUAACCAUCAUUACAAUUUUCUGUGACUUGUGCCACAGUAGACCUUCUGUCGGUUCGGACCAGAUGGGAUAGCCUUCGUUGCCCAUGCGCAUCGUUGAGCCUUGGGGCCCAACACCCUGUCUUUUUUGGUUUGUGGUUUGUCCCUCCUCGGACCACUGUCGGUAGGUACUCACCACUGUUGACCAGGAGCACCCCACAAGCCUUGCCAUUUCAGAGAUGUUCUGACCUAGUCAUCUGGCCAUAACAAUUUGGCCCUUGUCAAAGUUGCUCAGGACUUUACUCCUGCCCAUUUCUCCUGCAUUCAACAUGUUGACUACGAGAACUGAUUGUUCGCUUAACAUCUAGUCUACCCAGAUCUUAACAUGUGGCCAUGUUAGGAGAUGAUCAGCAUUAUUUGAUUCACUUGUGAGUGAUCAUAAUGUUUUGACUCAUCGGUGUAUGUAGCAGUUAUGCAUCACACUUUUUAAGUAAAUUCAAUUUAUGGUCAUUUUAUGUCAGCAUAACAAGUAAACCUUUGUUAGAUGUACACAAACGUAUCAGUUCAUUAAACAUUAUUUACUUAAAAAGGUAUGUCACACAAAUAAGAUCAACAACUAAUAGCGUGUUUUUUCAAAUUAACUUUAAUAUUAUUGUCUCUUUCUUAAUUUGAUAAACUAAAAAAAAAUUAGUGAGGUCAAACAAUAUAUUCCCUAAAAAAAUUAAAAUACAGCUGCACUUCAGCUAUACACAUUCACAUGGGCAAGUAAAAUUUUUAUGUAUUUAACAGGAUUCAACUUCACCAAAGGGAUCACUAAUCACCCUAAUGAUGACUUUGCAUUAAACGAAAAAUUGCAGUAAAACAACAAUAAUACAAAAAAAAAGCUACAAAUUUACAGUAUAUGAAUUUUUAAUAACAAUGAAUUAAAGGCCCCAAUAAGUUCCCUUUGACCAAACAAACGCCUUCAUUAUUUAAAAGAAAGAUAUUACGAGUGUUCCUCACAACCUCAGUUCUGUACCUGAUCAUCUGAGUUAGUAGCAGGGGCGGUGCCAGGAUUGGUGUGUCACUUGGAUACAAAAACAGAGGGGAGCUCCGCCCCUGGGUAGUAGUACAUAAAAUCGUAAUUUUAUGGAUUUUUAAGACAAAGAUGUUCAAGGGACUAACAAUUAUUCUUUUACCUAAAUUCACCUUAUAAUUAUUUUGUGUUGUACACAUUAAUGCAAAUACAUUACUGGAGUAGAUCAUAUUUUUAUGUACUGAAAAUUGCAGAUUCUUAUUGCAGUCUGAUAUUUUUUUUAGGAGAACCAAAUCAGAAAUUUUAAUCAUGAGAGACGGCGACUUGCAAAAUACAGGAUCACAAAGUUUAACGACAAAAAUAAAGCAUCUAAAAUUAAACUGCUGUACUACUUUAUUAUUUUGUUUGACCCUGUCAAAAUGGUCCUGCAAAAGAGUGCUGCUCUUCAGAAUGAGAGGACAGGUGGAGGCAAUGACUGAGUCAUUCAUAGAGAAUGUGGUGGAGAAAGUGCUAUUGGAACAGCCCAGACAUUACUGAAAAUUUACGGAGAAGACUAAAUAGCGUGCUGCUGAUUACCACAGACCAACUUGCAAUGGAUAUCUAUGGGGCAAUGCACGGCAUUAGGAUAAAUAUUAAAGUGCAUACUCUUUUGAAAGUAUAGCCAAACGUAUACAUUAACAUGAGACAUAAAAUUACUAACUUACUAACCUGGUCUAUGCAAAGUUAUAUACAAUCUUUCAACUCCUGUCAUGACAAUGUAAAGCCAUUAAACCCUGCUGAUAAACUUUCAAAUGAAGUGUGUAAGGGUACCAGAAAGAGACCGUUUACAUAGAGAAAAAUCCACCCAUAGAAAUGUAGUUGGUAACGCACAAUUUAGAAGUUCAUUUGUCUAGAACAGUAGUAUCAACGAUAAAGGUAAAAAUGUCUAAAUUAGAAAAUGUAGGUAUUUUUCCAGAAUUUCUCAGGUUCCAUCAGCUCAGCUCCUAUAUACUGGUUAUAUACUGUAUACUGUAUAUAAUCUAACAAAUGUACUUAAUUUAAAUCUAACUGGUUUUAUUAAAGUAAAUGUUAUUGCUAUUUAUCUGUACUUCAACAGGCACAAAAGACACUUUUAUAAGUUGGCUUUUUCAGGGUUGGAUUUCUAUUUUUAGAUUGCAUUCUAUCUGGAUUUGUUCAAUCCAAAUUUCUCUGCCCGCAAGUUCAUUGACUGCCAUGGUUGCAAUAAAGACAAGCCUGCAGGAAAACAAACAGCACUGAAACUGUUUUAACAAGCAUUAAAAUAAAAUAAAAUAAAUACACAGAAUUAUAUGUAAUUCAAUGCAAAUUUAUAAGUAUACGUGUUUUGGGUUUGAUUUCAUUCUGGGUUAUUGGAAGAAACACAAACCUUCUAAUGUGUCAGCACUGUCAUAUUGCAGGGAUUUAUAAGUUUAUAUUUCUUAACAAAUAUUACAAGUAAUUGUUAAUAACAUCUGUCUAAACAUUCUAUUUUAAUGCUUUCAGGACCAAUCACAGUGAGAUUUGUUUUGUUACUUAAAGAGUAAGAGUACACAUCACUCAACCUCCACCAAUCAAAAUGAUAUUGAAAACAAUCAGAUAACACUUUACAGUAGUGUCAAUGUUACACAUAUUACUACAAUGAAAUAACAACACCAAUGUAUAAGCACGUGUUUUUCUUUAAUAUUACUCGAUUUAUGUAAUAACACAGUAACAACGUAAAGUUGGACUGACAAUCAAACAACUGAUCCUGUAUGUAUCUUCCAAUAUUGUAUUAUUAAGUAAAUAAUAAAAAAUAAAAAAAAUCUUAAGUGUUCUUUGAGUACACAAUCAUAGAGGAAACAAGUUUGUAUCACAUUUUAAAGGCACUUAGUCUUUGAACUUGUGCAACAUUUACAGUAGUCAGUUAUUCUUUGAGGUGUGGUUCUUCGCCAGUUACUUUUUGUAAAAUUUACAAGGCUUAAUUUGAGCUUAAAGUAAACAUGAAAUCAUAACUGAUUCUAUUAUUUCUAAAUGCAUUUUCCUUAUAGCGAAUGAUUCAUCGGUGCAUGCUCUUCCAAAGGAAAAAAAAAAAUUGUCCUUGUAAUCUUUUAUCAAUAUGUAAUAACUUGCUCUUCCACUGAAACUACUUUUCUUUUUUAAAGACAUCCCUUUAGCCGUGCAGGCCAUUGGAUAGCCAAAAUUGCUAUUUGGGCUUUUUCAGGUCUGGUUUCAUCCUGGUAUGUAACGGCCACCUUUCUUGAUUUAAUCAAUUCCUGCCCUAUAUAUAUAUAUAUAUAUAUAUAUAUAUAUAUAUAUAUAUAUAUAAUGUAUAUGUGUGUGUGUGUGUGUGUGUGUUUUUAUUAUUAUUAUUAUUUUUUUUUUUUUUAUAUCCUCUUUCAGUUGGAAAUAAAAGACUUUGUGAACCAUUUAUGUAGACUUGAAUUAAAAUGUAGAAAAAGCAAUUCACAUGCCUUUCAGGAAGACAUGCAUAAGCCCACAUUCUGUUUUUUCCAGCAAGAUUCCUUAAUCAGAAAUACUGCCAGUGCCAAGCAUGUCUUUCUAGUUCAAAAUAAAUGUAUUUCAAAUAUUUGAAAUUAAAUGUGUAUAUGUGUAUAUAUAUAUAUAACACACACACACACACACACACACACACACACACAGUACUGAGCAAAAGUUUUAGGCACUUUGGAAAAAUAUUGCAUAGUGAGGAUGUCUUCAAAAAUAAUGCUAUAAAUUGUUUUCAUUUAUCAAUUAAAGUCAUACAAAGUCCAGUAAACAUAAGAAAAGCUAAAUCAAUAUUUGGUGUGACCACCUUUGCCUUCAAAACAGCACCAAUUCUCCUAGGUACACCUGGAUACAGUUUUUGGCAGAUAGGAUGUUCCAAGCUUCUACAGUUUUUUUUAUCUAUUUUGGCUGUCUCAAUUGCUUCUGUCUCUUCUUGUAAUCCCAGACUGACUCGAUGUUCAGUGGGGGGCUCUGUGGGGACCAUGCCAUCUGUUGCAGUGCUCCCUGUUCUUCUAUCCUAUUCUAUUCUAUUUGCAAAAUAAAUGUUUGGGAGUCUAAAAUGUAUAUUUCCUAUUGAAAAUAUAAAUAACCAUCUUAAGACAAAUGUUUUUGUGAAAAAUCUUAUGUGCCUUAGA